UAAAUCUUUAAAUCUUUCCCAAGCUUCAUAUAAGCUUUCUUGAUCAUGAUGAAUAAAAGUCAUGAUCUCAUUUCUCAAUUU
rfam:Jatropha curcas cultivar GZQX0401 scaffold22_9, whole genome shotgun sequence.